rnacentral:rRNA from 1 species
GACAGAGGGUGCAAACGUUGUUCGGAAUUACUGGGCGUAAAGCGUGCGUAGGCUGUUUCGCAAGUUGGAAGUGAAAGCCCAGGGCUCAACCCUGGAACUGCUUUCAAAACUGCGAGACUCGAAUUCGGGAGAGGAUAGCGGAAUUCCCAGUGUAGUAGUGAAAUACGUAGAUAUUGGGAGGAACACCAGUGGCGCAAGCGGCUAUCUGGACCGACAUUGACGCUGAGGCACGAAAGCGUGGGGAUCAAACAGG